GGAUGUAAGGGCGAUUUGGCCUAGACAUCUGUCACCCCUUUGAUCGCCGAGUCGAUUCAGCUGAUCUGGCUGGCUAGGCAGAUGUCCCCUUCUUCCCUUACUGUUCCAUGUGCGUCCCUCCUGAAGCUGCAUGCUUGGUAGGAGAGGUUACCUUCCCAAAGUAGAGAUGGACUAGAUCUGUCUUCUGUUGAGGGUGUAAGAGUAGCUGUGCUCUCCUGCUAGAGCUUCCAAACAAGCUCUCAAGACAGCUGCUGGAGGAAUGAUGCUGGAAGUCAGAAAGUUAGGGUCACAAAGACAGAGUUGCUUUAACAGGGGAAAAAAAAAACAAGGAAAGAGAGAGUGUGUCUUUAAUU
rfam:Erinaceus europaeus unplaced genomic scaffold scaffold00249, whole genome shotgun sequence